AUACCUACCUGGCGUCGAGAUACCGUGGUCAUGCAAGCGGUUUCCCCAAGGUGCGGCUGCUCCAUUGCACUGCGGAGUGGUUGACCCUUGCGAUUAUUUGUAUACCUAGUCAGGUCAUAAAUUCUGUCACAUGUUUAAUGUAAAAUAAUUGAAACAAGUUUAUUCAUUAU